CAGCCGCCGCGGUAAUACGAACCGUGCGAACGUUAUUCGGAAUCACUGGGCUUAAAGCGCGUGUAGGCGGGCCGUCACGUCGGCUGCUGAAAUCCCCCGGCUCGACCGGGGAACUGGCACCGAUACGAGCGGCCUUGAGGGGGGUAGGGGGGUCUGGAACUUCCGGUGGAGCGGUGAAAUGCGUUGAGAUCGGAAGGAACGCCCGUGGCGAAAGCGAGGCCCUGGACCCUUACUGACGCUGAGACGCGAAAGCCAGGGGAGCGAACGGGAUUAGAUACCCGAGUAGUCCCUGUCUCUUAUA
rnacentral:rRNA from 1 species